rnacentral:lncRNA from 1 species
AGGCUACAAUCGCGAAAAAGCCCUUGCAGUUUCGAACUGCUCAAAAUCUGCCGCCUUGUACCGGUACACGGGCCCUUGUACCGGUACAAGGUCCACGAAAUCCAAACCCGAGGCUCGGGUUGCUGGGCUCUGCGGCUCUGUACCGGUACAAGCUCUGAUGGCUGUACCGGUACAACCAUCAACCUUGUACCGGUACAAGCACAACCUUGUACCGGUACAAGCCCGCCAGAACUCAAUCCGAGAGUCAGCCAAAUCCCGUUUUUUCGGGUUUUGGUGCAAGGCUUUGUACCACACUUCUCGGGACACGUGCCGUAGGUCGGAA